rnacentral:tRNA from 1 species
AAUGAAGUGCCUGAAAAAGGAUUAUUUUGAUAGAAUAAAUCAUGUAAUUACAUUACCUUCAUUA